GGAAAAAGUUGUCGCUGAUUUUGGGAAUUGUAGUCUAAUCUGUUUCCCCUGGCAUGUGCCUGAUUUGUGGCUAUAGCAACUGUCUCCUGUGCAGCCAGGUAGCCACCAAAAGAGACACUUCUAUUAAGAAAUCAAAACUUUUAAAAAUUUUUCAAAGCUGAAGAAUUUUAGAGUGAUGAACAGGUCAAGAAUGAAGCUAUUUCUGGAAAUGGCAUAAGAAGAGAGAAGAUAAGUGCAAUUGAAUGUCCAGAAACUGAGAGAAAGUGACAGAAUGAGGAUUGUCUACAAAAAAGCUACAGAUAUAUUCUAUCCUUGGAGUAGCUGAAUGAGGUGAAGAGAUGUUAAAAGUGCUACAGGUUUUAUAAACGAUGAAACUCAUUCUGGAAGGUACACAAGCCUGCCUGGAAGACAGAGCAGUGGCAAGGUGACAAGUUAGCCUAGGAAGAAUGAGAAAUUUUUAAAGUAGAGACAAAAAUUUACCAAAGUAGUUUCCAUUUGCAAACAUAACCAAGCAUGCCAGAACUUGAAAGAAAAAAAAUCUAAUUCUAGGAGAAAAGAUACAAUUGUAUGAGGAAAAAUAAGGAGAAUGCAGAAA